CCUACGGGGGGCAGCAGUGGGGAAUAUUGGACAAUGGGGGGAACCCUGAUCCAGCCAUGCCGCGUGUGUGAAGAAGGCCCUCGGGUUGUAAAGCACUUUCAGUGAGGAAGAACGCCUGGUGGUUAAUACCCAUCAGGAAAGACAUCACUCACAGAAGAAGCACCGUCUAACUCCGUGCCAGCAGCCGCGGUAAUACGGAGGGUGCGAGCGUUAAUCGGAAUUACUGGGCGUAAAGCGCGCGUAGGUGGCUUGAUAAGCCGGUUGUGAAAGCCCCGGGCUCAACCUGGGAACGGCAUCCGGAACUGUCAAGCUAGAGUGCAGGAGAGGAAGGUAGAAUUCCCGGUGUAGCGGUGAAAUGCGUAGAGAUCGGGAGGAAUACCAGUGGCGAAGGCGGCCUUCUGGACUGACACUGACACUGAGGUGCGAAAGCGUGGGUAGCAAACAGGAUUAGAUACCCGGGUAGUC
rnacentral:rRNA from 1 species